rnacentral:rRNA from 1 species
GACGGAGGGUGCAAACGUUGCUCGGAAUUACUGGGCGUAAAGCGCGUGUAGGCGGGCAUGCAAGUCGAGUGUGAAAUCCCUGGCUCAACCCAGGAACUGCAUUCGAAACUGCACGUCUAGAGUGUCGGAGAGGGAAGCGGAAUUCCUGGUGUAGCAGUGAAAUGCGUAGAUAUCAGGAGGAAUACCGAUGGCGAAGGCAGGUCUCUGGGCUGACACUGACGCUCAUGCACGAAAGCGUGGGGAGCAAACAGG